UUGGCCUCUCGCCAUGGGUGGAGCUCGGAUGGGGGCAAUGCUGCCAUGGGAGAGGAGUUUGGGUGUCCUCCAUGGCUGUUCAGAUCUCAAGCGCAGCAGGGGUUUAUUUCAGGCGCUGAAACAUGGAGGAGCAGAGGAAGGAAAGGGGAGAUUGCAAGGGCGCCAUGGAGAAGUUUCUACGCAUCAUGCAGCAAGGGCGCCAUGCCAUGGCCGCCGGCGAGCUUACUGCUUGAGCUCAGACUAGAGGAGGUGCCGCGCCCAUGGAGGAGAGGAGCUCAGCUGCUGGGCUACUCGCCGACCAUGGAGAAGAGCAGAGAAGGUCGUGGCCAAGGGGAGAGCUGGGGCGUCGGCGUGCUCCCAAGGAGCUUCUGCUCCUGCGCGCACGAAGCAGAGGGAGGAGGAGCUGCCGCCAUGCCUGGAGGGGGCGCGCUGGAGAGGAAAGUCUGGGCGAUGGGAGGUGGAGGCGCCAUGGCUGCUGGCUUGCUCCCUGUGCGCUGGCGAGAAGGAAGGGAAGCUCCCUGCGCGUCGCCGUGGACAGCAGAGGGAGGAAGAAGAAACGUGCUGGCUGUUGAUGCCAUGAAGGAGAAGGAGACGGGAAAAGAGAAGGUGGCGGCUAGGAAAGUUAGAGGGGUGGGAAUGGAAAAAUACCCCAAAUGCAAGAGAGGGGCACUCCUAUUUAUAGAAAAUUGCUAG
rnacentral:misc_RNA from 1 species